rnacentral:rRNA from 1 species
AACGCGAAGAACCUUACCUAGACUUGACAUCCCGGUGACCGCUCUGGAAACAGAGUUUUCCCUUCGGGGACACCGGUGACAGGUGGUGCAUGGUUGUCGUCAGCUCGUGUCGUGAGAUGUUCGGUUAAGUCCCGCAACGAGCGCAACCCCUAUUGUUAGUUGCUACGCAAGAGCACUCUAGCGAGACUGCCGUUGACAAAACGGAGGAAGGCGGGGACGACGUCAAAUCAUCAUGCCCCUUAUGUCCUGGGCUACACACGUAAUACAAUGGUGGUAAACAGAGGGAAGCAAUGGUGCGAACCGGAGCAAAUCCCUAAAAGCCAUCUCAGUUCGGAUUGCAGGCUGCAACUCGCCUGCAUGAAGCUGGAAUUGCUAGUAAUCGCGGAUCAGCAUGCCGCGGUGAAUACGUUCCCGGGUCUUGUACACACGC